CCUGGCGGCCUUAGCGCGGUGGUCCCACCUGACCCCAUGCCGAACUCAGAAGUGAAACGCCGUAGCGCCGAUGAUAGUGUGGGGUCUCCCCAUGCGAGAGUAGGGAACUGCCAG
rnacentral:rRNA from 1 species